GGGGAGGAGAGGCGGAGCCAAAGGCCGAGCAAGAGCGCGAAGACUCAAACGCAGCUUCUUUCCCUGAGCUUUUGGCGCUUUCCGGAGCCCGGUCGUUCAUCUUAGCCAAGGCGGGAGGCGGCUAUCAUGACGGCGGCGGCGGGAGAGUUGGAUGCCCAGGAUGUGAAAACUCAAAAUACGUCUGACAGUGAUUCAGACAGUGGACAAGGCAGCUGUGAAGUGAGCUUCUGGUCCCAGAUAAGCAAGGGAGUUGCAUCUGUUGAUGAAGGAGAUUCAGAUGAAGAGAUUUGCACGCGUAAGAGAAUCAAAUGCAGGAGGGUGCUUGCUGACAGCAAUAGUGAAGGAGAAGAUGGCACCCCUGAGGAACUGAAGGUGGCAGCUGGCGAUGCAGAAAGCGCAAAGGAAAAGUAUAGCUGGCUAGCAGUACAGGAAAACAAAGGGGUGAAGAGUAAUGACAGCGAUACUGAGAACCUGUUGCCACAGCUUCAGCUGGGGAACCCCGAGAGGGAGGACAAGAGCUGGAACAGGAAAGAAAUGAAAGAGAAAAGCAGUUCAAGGAAAAGGAAGAGGAAGGAAGAGAAGAAGAGCACAAGGCCAGCAAGAAAGAAGGAAAAGGCACAGGAACAAAAGGUAUGAUGGGAAGUAAGACAAUGGGCUGAGGACGCUGGCAUCAUUUCGUAGUAU
ensembl:lncRNA